rnacentral:tRNA from 1 species
GGCGGGAUACAAUCAGUUGGUAGAUGGUCGGACUCAUAAUCCGGCGGUCGGCGGUUCGAAUCCGUCUCCCGCAACCA